GGCCUUGUCACGUUCUUUGUCAUGCUGAAUCUCUAAGAACUACAUUAAGGGUACGUAUGUCUGUGGAGUACUCAGCCACUUAUACGUUAACUUCAUGAGCAAGCUAUUCCAUCCAUCAUAUCAGUUGAAACGCUCGGCGUAACCGACGGAGUGCCAGUAUAUACAAGGUAGAAA